CCACCAAGGCAAACUUGACCUAUUUGACUGUGCUAUAUUUCUAUGAAAAUUUUGACAGAGUUUCCCCUUAAAAAUGGAAAAAACCAACCUGAAAAAUCAUCAAAACCUCAAAUAGACAUUCAAACCAAAAGUUUUGGAAACCACCACUUCCACUAAUACCACCACAACUAAAACAAAAUAUAACAAAAUUCGACUGAGUGCUUCUACAACAACAUCAUGUCUACAUGCAAGCAUUACAUCAAUUACAAACCCUUCUGCAAAGUGCAUGACACCCCAAAUAUUAGACAAAGUACUUAAUAAACAUGAGUCCCCCAACAAUUCAUUACAUACUAUGAAACGGUCUCUUUCGCUUCAGCAGGCUUUUCCAAGUAUCUCAAAAUCAACGGUCUCCUGAUAGGAAAAACAUG
rnacentral:lncRNA from 1 species